rnacentral:lncRNA from 1 species
CGAUUUCCCUGCUGAUGAACAUCCCCAUUAUUGGGCCAGGAAAACGGAUGUGUAUGGGAGAGGGCCUGGCCCGCAUGGAGCUGUUUUUAUUCCUGACCACCAUUUUGCAGAACUUUAACCUGAAAUCUCAGGUUGACCCAAAGGAUAUUGACAUCACCCCCAUUGCCAAUGCAUUUGGUCGUGUGCCACCCUUGUACCAGCUCUGCUUCAUUCCUGUCUGAAGAAGGGCAGAUAGUUUGGCUGCUCCUGUGCUGUCACCUGCAAUUCUCCCUUAUCAGGGCCAUUGGCCUCUCCCUUCUCUCUGUGAGGGAUAUUUUCUCUGACUUGUCAAUCCACAUCUUCCCAUUCCCUCAAGAUCCAAUGAACAUCCAACCUCCAUUAAAGAGAGUUUCUUGGGUCACUUCCUAAAUAUAUCUGCUAUUCUCCAUACUCUGUAUCACUUGUAUUGACCACCACAUAUGCUAAUACCUAUCUACUGCUGAGUUGUCAGUAUGUUAUCACUAGAAAACAAAGAAAAAUGAUUAAUAAAUGACAAUUCAGAGCCAUUUAUUCUCUGCAUGCUCUAGAUAAAAAUGAUUAUUAUUUACUGGGUCAGUUCUUAGAUUUCUUUCUUUUGAGUAAAAUGAAAGUAAGAAAUGAAAGAAAAUAGAAUGUGAAGAGGCUGUGCUGGCCCUCAUAGUGUUAAGCACAAAAAGGGAGAAAGGUAAGAGGGUAGGAAAGCUGUUUUAGCUAAAUGCCACCUAGAGUUAUUGGAGGUCUGAAUUUGGAAAAAAAAACUAUGUCCAGGAGCAGCUGUAACCUGUAGGGAAAUACUGGAACAAUCAUCCAUAAGAGGGAUGAACAUUAAGUGUUUGAAUUCAUGCUCUGCUUUUGUGUUACUGUAAACACAAGAUCAAGAUUUGGAUAAUCUUUUUCCUUUGUGUUUCCAACUUAGAUCAUGUCUAAAUAUAUGCUUUC